rnacentral:rRNA from 1 species
AGUGAACGUUGGCGGCGUGGAUUAGGCAUGCAAGUCGAGCGAGAACCGUAGCAAUACGGGGACAGCGGCGAAAGGGACAGUAAUGUGUAGGUACCUACCCCGAGGUCUGGAAUAGCUGCGGGAAACUGCAGGUAAUACCGGAUAAUGUCUUCGGACCAAAGGUGUGAUUCCACCUUGGGAGGGGCCUGCAUCCUAUUAGCUAGUUGGCGGGGUAAUGGCCCACCAAGGCGACGAUGGGUAGCGGGUGUGAGAGCACGACCCGCGUCAUUGGGACUGGGACACUGCCCAGACACCUACGGGUGGCUGCAGUCGAGGAUCUUCGGCAAUGGGCGAAAGCCUGACCGAGCGACGCCGCGUGCGGGAUGAAGGCCUUCGGGUUGUAAACCGCUGUCGUAGAGGAGGAAAUGCAGGUGGGUUCUCCCAUCUGUUUGACCUAUUCUAGGAGGAAGUACGGGCUAAGUUCGUGCCAGCCGCCGCCGCCG